rnacentral:rRNA from 1 species
CAAUAGCGUAUAUUAAAGUUGAUGCAGUUAAAAAGCUCGUAGUUGGAUUUCUGGUGGGAGCGAUCGGUCUGGCGCUUAGCGCGAGUACUUGCAUCGUCUCCGGCCAUCCUUGGGGAGAGUCUGUCUGGCAUUAAGUUGUCGGGCAGAGGAUCCUCAUCGUUUACUGUGAAAAAAUUAGAGUGUUCAAAGCAGGCUUAUGCCGUUGAAUAUAUUAGCAUGGAAUAAUAAGAUAGGACUUUGGUACUAUUUUGUUGGUUUGCGCACCAAAGUAAUGAUUAAUAGGGACAGUUGGGGGUAUUCGUAUUCCGUUGUCAGAGGUGAAAUUCUUGGAUUUACGGAAGACGAACUACUGCGAAAGCAUUUACCAAGGAUGUUUUCAUUAA